GCAAGUCGAACUGUAACAGGCCGCAAGGUGCUGACGAGUGGCGAACGGGUGAGUAAUGCAUCGGAACGUGCCCAGUCGUGGGGGAUAACGCAGCGAAAGUUGCGCUAAUACCGCAUACGAUCUAUGGAUGAAAGCGGGGGACCGUAAGGCCUCGCGCGAUUGGAGCGGCCGAUGUCAGAUUAGGUAGUUGGGUGGGGUAAAGGCUCACCAAGCCGACAAUCUGUAGCUGGUCUUAGAGGACGACC
rnacentral:rRNA from 1 species